rnacentral:rRNA from 1 species
UGCCGCGUGCAGUGAUGACGGUCCUAUGGAUUGUAAACUGCUUUUGUACGAAAAAAAACAUCCCGACGUGUCCGGACUUGACGGGAUCGUACCAAUAAGGAUCGGCUAACUCCGUGCCAUCCCCCGCGGUAAUACGGAGGAUCCGAGCGUUAUCCGGAAUCAUUGGGUUGAAAGGGUCCGUAGGCCGUUUAGUAAGUCAGUGGUGAAAGCCCAUCCCUCGGCGGUGGAACGGCCAUUGAUUCUGCUGAACUUGAAUUAUUAGGAAGUAACUAGGAUAUGUUUCGUAGCGGUGAAAUGCUUAGAUAUUACAUGGAGUACCAUUUGCGAAGGCAGGUUACUACCAAGUGAUUGACGCUGAUGGACGAAAGCGUGGGGAGCGAACAGGAUUACAUACCCUGGUAGUCCACGCCGUAAACGAUGGAUACUAACUGUUGGGAGCAAUUUCAGUGGCUAAGCGAAAGUGAUAAGUAUCCCACCUGGGGAGUAGGUUCGCAAGAAUGAAACUCAAAGGAAUUGACGGGGGCCCGCACAAGCGGUGGAGCAUGUGGUUUAAUUCGAUGAUACGCGAGGAACCUUACCAAGGCAUCUAUGUAGAUUGACCGUUUUGGAAACAGAACUUUCGC